rnacentral:misc_RNA from 1 species
GAUGAAGAACGUAGCGAAAUGCGAUAAGUAAUGAGAAUUGCAGAAUUCAGUGGAUCAUCGAAUCUUUGAACGCACAUUGCGCCCCUUGGUAUUCCGAGGGGCAUGCCUGUUCGAGCGUCAUUUCAACCCUCAAGCUCAGCUUGGUCUUGGGCCUGGCCGUGAUGGCCGGUCUUAAAAUCAGUGGCGGUGCCGUCGCAGGCUCCAAGCGUAGUACAUCUCUCGCUCUGGAAACUUGGCGGUGCCUGCCAGACAACCCCUAAUUGUCUCUUUCGGUUGACCUCGGAUCAGGUAGGGAUACCCGCUGAACUUAAGCAUAUCAAUAAGCGGAGGA